CUUUUUCAUUCAGAUUGAUUUAUUUCCAAGAACCUUAUGAGCACAUGUCUGGUAAAACGACAUUUAAAGUGUUGCUUUUGCAUGAUUCUUUGUAGAGAAACUCAGUUUUACAGAUCUGUCGAUUAAAUCAGCUAAUCAAUUAGUCCAGAGUAAAAGAGUGUGA